rnacentral:lncRNA from 1 species
GAUUAGAAUAGGUCAGUCCAAUUGCAUCAAUUAAUUAGGACUCUUUCUAAUUAAUUUUUGAAUUAAACUCUUUUAAUUUUUGUGAGUUCACAAGUCAAGAUUGAUGUCUAACAAUGUGUAAUGACUAUCUGAAAGAGAUAAAAUUUAAUAAAAAUACUAAAAAUAUCUUUUAGUGGCAAGUUACCAUGCAAUUCAAUCUUUCAGUCAUACAACACCCCA